CAAAAUAUAACUAAGUAGGAUAGUAUUUCAUUUACAUUGAAAAUGGUUACCGUGCAAAUCGGUUUAUUUUGA
rnacentral:tRNA from 1 species